UUGCAAGAACGCGUACUUAUUCGCCACCAUGAUUAUGACCAGUGUUUCCAGUCCGUUCAGUUGUUGCAGUGGAAUAGUCAGGUUAAAUUUAAUGUGACCGCUUAUCGCAAUCUGCCGACCACUCGCGAUUCAAUCAUGACUUCGUGCUAAAAGAUUGAGUGUGAGGUUAUAACGCCGAAGCGGUAAAAAUUUUAAUUUUUGCCGCUGAGGGGUUGACCAAGCGAAGCGCGGUAGGUUUUCUGCUUAGGAGUUUAAUCAUGUUUCAGACUUUUAUUUCUCGCCAUAAUUCAAACUUUUUUUCUGAUAAGCUGGUUCUCACUUCUGUUACUCCAGCUUCUUCGGCACCUGUUUUACAGACACCUAAAGCUACAUC
rnacentral:rRNA from 1 species